GAAGAUUAGUAAAAGCAGAGGAAGUUCCUCAGAUUGGUAUAGCCAGCAUUCAACAGAGUGCCACCAUUCAGAUGGAGGACGUGCAUGAGAUGGGUACAGAGGGAACACACGCAUGUAGCUUUCAAAACACAGCUGACAGUGAUGAAGACACUAUUAUCUCUGAUGCCACAUUUAGCCUUACGUCUGGAGAGAUCACCAAGUACCAAUCCAAUACAAAGAUCAUACCGACAAUCUACAUUAGCCCUACCCUUGAGAGUAAUAUUGAUUUUUGGGAAGAAGUGGAUGACCAAGUUGACUAUGAAGACAAUGUUACUUCUGUAAAUAGCCAUGCUGGUACCUCAAAAGCGGUUGGCAAGUCAAUUUCUGGAGAUGCCGUCUCAGAUUCCCAGGAAGACAUCUUGGACUCAUUUGACAAUAACAAUGCUUCAGGAAAUGUGUGCAGUGAGGAAUACAUUAUCAGCAUGAGUUCGGGUGACAAUACAGUCAAAGAGACCACUACAGUUCCUGGAAAUACAGCCAUUGCUCCCAGUGGAGAUGCCUUCUAUAAAACCCCUGGUAACAUGGUUGUUGAUGAAACCACUGUCAGUGCCAUUAAUGAAAUAAGCACUAAGACAAUAAUAACCAAAGGAGAUCUUUGCAAUAGUGUUGACUCUGAAGAAGCUAUACCUAUUGGUGGGAAUACUUCUGGAGAAGUUGUGGACUUUACAGAGACCAAUGGUAUUGAAGCAAUCUUAGACUCCAUGACUUAUGCUACAAAAGAAGGUGUUUCCACAAAUUUUCCUGAAGAAUUCAGCAACAGUUCUAGCCCGGUUUCAGGACCUGUUGAAAUUUCCCAUCAUGCCUUGAAGGAAAUUUCACUCUCUGGCCCAGAAACCACUGGUGUAUUUUCAGACAACAGGACUGAUGUUCUUUUCGGUGAGGAUGCCUCAACCACUACUCCAACAUUUUCAGCUACCUUUCAACAUGCUCCAUCUGUUGUCUCAGAAACCACUGUUAUCUCCUCCUCUGACAGCAACAACACUGCUGUUGAAAACCCAAAAUCAAUAGAGGGUCCUACAAACAAAAUAGACGCCGUAAUUAAAGAAGUCACAACCAGUACUCCCAGCAUUGUCAUUGCCUCCAGAGAGAUGUGUAACGCUUCACCAGAGGACAACGUUGAUGUUUCUGAGAACAGGACCUCUAGUUAUAGUGCCACAACAGACUCUGGAAACUUUUCCAUCAUUUCUGAUGAAAACAUGCUCACCACUCUUAUAACAGAGGCCUUCAGCAACUCCAGUCUUUCUGGAGAAAGUACCAGCAUGCUGUCUUCUGAUGAUGUUAGGAAUACUGAGAUCUGUGAAGAGAAAGCAAUCACUGAGUCUGAAAAUCCCACUGUUGCACCUAGUUCCAUUAGUUCCUUUGAAUAUACUAACACCACUGAAUACAUUGCUACUUUAGAUUCUGCAAAUAGCACAAUCAAAGAAGACAACAUUGUGACUGAUCCAGCAAGCACCAAUGAAACUGAACAACCAUUUUCCCUCAGAAAGGGGACUAAUGCCAUUUCCAAAGAUAUUAUUAAUACUACUGUAAAAGAGAUCUUCAGUGAUACCACAACUGUUUCUUCUUCCACAGAAAGCAUUGUUGAUCCUAUCUCUGUGUGUGCUAAAACUAUAGCAAUUCAUGGAAACACGGGCAUAAAUAUGGCUGGAAAUGUUACCACCAGUUGUGGAACCACCACUGUCUCUGAAAGUGUAGUAAGCAUCACUUUGGGCAAAAACAAUCCCUAUAUACACAAAACAUCUACCAAUAGCUGUGGUGAUUAUGAUGAUGGCAAAGAAACUAUAUGCAAAGAUAUCAACCAUUCUCUUUUUGAUGAAGAUAUGAUUAUUACUUCAUCUGAGGAAGCAUCAUGCCAAAACACCACUUUUGAUAUACUUGGAUAUGUUAGCAGUACUCCUCCCUCCCAGAAUGCCUCCGGAUAUGGUGCCAAAACAGAACCUGAAAAAUCAUCAGAAACCAUUACUGUCGAUAACAGUAUGACUUUUGGAAAUAACACCAUCACUCAUGGAGUCACUGCUACCAAUGAUGUCACUCAUACAAUUCCUACAACUAUUGCUAUCACUGAAUCUUCCAGAGAGAUUGUCACUAAAAACAUAGUUUUAGUUUUGGAAGACCAUAGCAUUACUGCGACAACAGGAGAUGCUCCUGUUUUUCAUGGCAUUAGUAGUACAACUUCAGAACAAGGUAUUAUCACAACAACCUCUGGAGAUGUCGAGUCUAUGGCAUCUAGAGAAACUGCUAUGAUUCAUAUUGAGAAUGAUUUUAUUAUAGCAUCCUGUACUGAUUCUGAGAAUACUAAAGUCACCUCUUCUAUAUAUCGAGAUUCUGUUCCAUCCUCUGAAGAUACUGUCAGUGUUACCUGUACAAAUGGUACCACUUCUACUAGUGAAGAGGUUUCCAACACUGUACCUAACCAAGUCCCCAUUGAACCUUAUCAGACCACUAUAUAUACUGAAACAGCCACUAUGAAACCUACAUGUAAAGGCUCCCAAAUCACAGAUACCUCCAUCAAUUCUUCUGUGACCAGUGCCCAAGAAGCUAAUAGCACAAUGGAGUCUGCAUAUAGAGACACAUCCAUAACUGCCAUUGACAAAAAAUUGACAUCUGAAUAUCCCAGCAUCUCCCAUGUGAGCCCACCAUUAGGAAAAGAGACAUCAGAUUCUGAUCUGACUACAAGAAUUCAAGAUGACAUUGACCAUGGGAGGAAUGUAUCUCAAGAAGGAUUAAUAACCCCAGUUCCAAGUCCAUCCUCAUCAGCUGAUAUCACACCUCCAAUAUCUAUUUCUUCCCGAAGUCAACCCCCUCUUGAAUCUACCAACACUCCUAAAGAUAAAAAUGAUGAGGCUUCCAACUCUGGUGCAUCUUCAGCCUGCAAUGUAGCACUGGAGAGAAAUUUGAGUGUUGCCUCAACUGAUGAUAAAAACAAUCCCACUUCAGAUACUAUACUACUUGUUUCUGGUGGCUUCAUGUCAACCUCUGAGUCUGCUCCUAGCAUUUCUCUGUUCUCAAGAGAACUCAAUACUUAUGAUGUUGUAGGAAACACUACUACCAAUCUAGAUGACUCAUUAUUAAUUGACACAAUUGACAGUGCUAGCACCUCUCCUGAUACUUCAGUGAAGAAGUGGUAUGGAGAGGAAAAUUCUUCCGUACAUUGUGAGACCACAACAGUCCUUGACUAUCAUAUAUCUUCAUUCUCGGGUGAAUCUAGUGCUCAAGCCAGCACAGAACAAACUUCUGACUUCAGUUAUACAACCAAUACCUCCAAGGAUGCACAUCUUAAAGAGACAUUUGCUUCUGUGCACAAUAAGAUAACCACCAACCUUGAGGAAGAAGAUGCCAAAGAUGACACUGUUACCAGAGACAUUUAUGCAACUGUAGAUGUAACCAUUAAUCCACCUUCUGUGGAGACAUCCAGAGAGUUGGCCAGCUCCGGUGAACUUGCCACAACUGCUACACUUUUGGAAGAUGCUGUUGCCCUUGUCACUGUCAAGGAAACCACCUCUACAAAUACUGACCUUAAAAAUGCUGCCACGAUCAUCCAAGAUUUUUCUGAAGAUACCGAAACAGUUUCUAAAAACAAACUUGCUUAUAUCCUUCAUGAUACCUCUCAAGUGGGAGAAAUUAUUUCUUCAGAAAAGAGCACAUCUGAUACCCUUGCAGACACUAAAAUGGUUCCUGACAGUGAAGUCCUUACUUCUGAACUAAUGUCCUCUGCAGAGAUCCUUGAAGAUACUACUGACCUUGUAAGUGACAUUGCCCCAAAGAGGACUCUCAGUAAUGACCUUUCUAUGAUGACUACAGAUAUACCAGCAGUUUCAGGUACAGCCAGCUCUCUUAAUCGUACAGUUCCUAUAUUUGAUGAUGGCACUUCUGUGUCAGAGAUUACCAUGUGUUCUGAAGAAAUUUUGUCUUCUGGGAAUGAGUCCACAGUUUCCUAUGUAGACCUCAAUAUUCAGAAUCAGAUCCCAUUAACAGAGGCUUCUACUGUUGCCCCUGGUAAGAUCUCCUUUUCUUCUGGAGAAACAGUUACCACUAUCCCAACUUCUGAAGCAGAAAUGAUAAUUAACAAUGUUAUUGAAGCUGACAACACUAACAGUGGAAUCACUGAUGAUGCCAACAUUCCUAGAAGCCUUGAAAAUGUUACCAAAAUCAUUGUCCCCUGCAUGAGCCCCAUUGAUGCAAAUACUGGUGUUCCUAUUCCUCUAGACACAAACACUUCAGCCAUUGCCCUUCAAGAGACAGAGCCUUUGGGAGAAACAUUUAUAUCUGGAAAUGCUGUCAAUCCGAUCACAGAAGACAACAAUGACCACCCAGACAGCUGCAUUCCUAGUGAGGCAUUCAGCACUCUGGGCAGCACUCCACAUGAACACAAUGGGCACCCAUUCACUUCAAGCUUUGAUACUGUUUCCACAUUGGGAGAAACUGCUAGAAUAGCUGAGACAAGAAUUGCCUUUGAGAAUUCCAUGCCAGCUCCCAACCCAUUUGCUGAUGAAACUGUCUUAACUGAUGAUAUUGGAGAUGCUGGUCCAUCUAAAGAUAUUACUAACAUUACCUCUGAAGAUUCCACUAUUUCUGGAAGGAUGAACACCGGUGAAUCAGAAGGAACUGCUCUUACAAGUAUCCCUGAGCAUCUCUCAACUACUUCUGAAGCCAUUAUCUUGUCUUCUGAAAAUGAUACUACUGAACUCACUGGUAGCAAAUGCCUAUCCACUACUUCCGUAACUUCUGGAGAUAUUACUGCCACAACCCCUAAAGAUAACACCAUUGAUCUCUAUGUUCUAGAUGGUGCCAACAUACCCUCUACCAUUAGAGACACUCACACUACAACUGUGCUUGGCUUUAGAGGUACCACCAGUGUGAUCAAAAACAGUUCCACCCCAAUUGUUGAAAUAAUCAGCAACACUCAGUCUGACACUUCUACCCCUAGUGAUACAAAACCCCAUAAAGAGACAUCAGCAUCUAAAAAGACAUGUGUCCCAAUGGCUCAUGUGGCUGCUAGGGAAACCUCUAAAGUUCUCCCUAAAAGAGGAAAAGCAGAUACAUCUGAUUUAGCAAAUUCUAUGAAGGGCACCACCACUACCACCCAUACUAAAGACCCUACCUCUACUCCUAGAGAUUAUAAUUAUGUUUCAGAUAGCAUCCCAACCUCCAGAGGGAAAGUGACUGCAAUGAUAGCCAUUUUUGAAGAUGUGGGAAGACAGAAUGAGAGCUUGAGCUCUAGAGCAACAUUUUCCUUUGCAGAGACAUCUGUAAGACAAGUAUAUACCAAAUCUGGAAUGAACCUUCCCUGUAGAGAUGUUAUCAGUACCAGUUCUGUGCCAACUAAAUGUAAAGAUCCUAUCUUAACCCCUGUUGCUGCUUCUACUGCUGCUAUUACACGGGCUAGUGAAACUUCAUCUUACCACAGUAAGACCAAAUCUCUAGUGAAAUCAGAUCCAAGGAAGAGGAGUACUAUAUCUACAACAGACUCUGUCCUUGGAACUGUCUCUUGCCCAAGAGAGACAAUCCCUUCUCCCUCCAGUGUAAUCUUGGACUCCUCUCCUGAAGACACCUCAAAAGGGAUCUCUACUGUUGGGACUGCAUUUGGACUUCGUGAGGCUGAGACUUCUCCAGUAACCAUACCCUUUGAGGAGACUCAUAUCUCUGAUAAUGCUGCAACUCCUGUAGACAUCAGCAUCAAAACAGACAAAGUUGGUACUGAAGAGACACCUAUAUCUAAUAUUAACAUUAACCUGGAGAAAUAUACCUCAAUAGAAGUAAAAACAUCCCCAGAAGAAAUUGUUUCAGCUAGAAAUAUCAAUACCGCUAGAGAUAACUUUUUUUAUGGAGCCAUUAAAAGUUCUGUAGACUCCCUUGUAUCUACAGAUGUUGGACCUUUAUCAGACUCUGUUUCUAAGUCUACCGUCAUCUCUGUUGAGACUGCCACUCAUGAAGAUGUUGUUUCCUCAGAAAAAAUAGAGACAUCUAGAAAUGCUUCUGUCCACAAAGUUGUAGCUGUAGACAUCACUGCUAACAGUAUUUCUUCCUCUGAGAAUGUCACUUCCAUGACCUCCAGUGAUAAUAGUCCUGAUGAUAUGCAUAAUUCUGGAAACAUCAUCACCAUCAAUAGUGAGACAAACAAUCUCAGAUCUCCCACUGUCCCUAAAGGGGCAAUCUUAUUAGAAGAUGGUACUACAAAUUCUUCUAUAUAUGAAAAUACAUCUGAAUGUCUAAAUAAUCAUGAUAAUGCCAUAUGUGCACCAGAAAAUACAUUCCCCACAGUUUCUGAAGAUGCUGCUGUUGACUCUGGUAGCAGGGUCAUUUCUCCUGAUGAUGCUGUCACUAUUGGCCUUCAAAAAACCAGUGACACCUCCACUAGAGAAAUCUGUAAUACCACAGGAGCAGAUCUCAUUGCCCAUAGUGGAGAGAAACCCGUCGCCACACUCAAAGAAGCUACUCCUGAGGAGACUAAGGCUAAUGCUCCUUGGGAGACUGAAGUUGUAUCAACCCUCACUCUGGAAGAGACAAUUAUUGCCACACCAGAAAAGACUGAUACUGUCAUUACCGAGAGCUACAUGCCAACAGAAGAGAGUAGUGCUAUUUCUUCUGGAGAAUCUGGAGAUGAUGCCUCUGGAGAGACAAACAUGGUUACAUUUGGAAAAAUUAUUGGACCCAGCUCUGCAGAGUCAUCCACAACUUCAAGAGAACCAGAAGAUAUUAAUCCCAGAGAGAUGGAUGUCUCUGCCACAUUUCGAGAGAUUAUUAAUAACACCAAGGAUUCUCCUGAACACUCCUUUUCUGAUCCUGAAGAAUUACAUGUUGAUGCCCCAGGAGAAAUACAUCUUGCCCAACCCGAUAAUAUCACUGGAGACACCACUAAGGAGACCUCCGUUGACCUAGAUGAGGCAACCAUGGUCAUUAGCAGAAAACGGUCAACCACAGUCUCAAGCAAGAACCUUCCCCCUGUCACUUCUGGAGCACAUUUUGCCAUCAGUCCUGGUGAGAUUUCUCCCCCUGCUUCUCUAGGGGCUUCUGCUACCCUUGGUAAGACACCUAAAGGGAAUGUUCUCAUUGCUACAACCUCUAAAAGAUCUCACAUGGCCAGCCCCAGAGGGAUUUCUUCAGCAUCCCAAGAGGAAAAUGGCACCAUCAGACCAGUGGUCCCUCCAUCAUAUUGGUCAAUUAUGAUUACUGGCAUCGUGAUGACAUUUAGCCUGGUUGCAGGACUUUGCAUGGUCAUCUAUUACAUCACAUUCUACAUCUUGGUCACCUACUCAACGUCAUAAGGAGAUCCAUUCUUUCAAGAUUGUGUUGAAAUAGGAUGGUGCUAAGUAACUGUGGGGAUGCUAUGCAAAAUGUUUUCUAUGGAUGAUAUUGCAAGGAACAUUGGGAGAGGAAAAAAGCAAUUCUUGGAGGGCAACCCUCUUCAGGAAAGGAAGACCACAAAGUCAGUGGACCAGGGAGAUCAGAGUGAGAUCCACUCACUUUGGAAAACUACAAAUGGGCAAAUAUAUUCAUUACCGUUACUGCUCUAGCAUUCACACAAAAUCAAAUUUGAGAGUUGAGAUUUCUGUCGGCUCAGCUUUUCGUAUCAUUCCACUUUAACUGCCAUUGCUGUGUUUUCUACAAUUCUGCGGUUUAUAGUUUGGAAAGGUACUAGAGUUCUCUAGCAAAUAAUUCACAAUAGUCUUUCCACAAACUAAAAAUCCCAGGAUUCUAUUUGAUGUUGCCAUUGCAUUUGCAAUAGAAUCUGAGCACUAUAGCUGUGCCCAGGAUCAUUGCUUCUUAUGAGAAAGACUGGGUUUGUGAAGUCUUUGAGCACUCUGAUACCAAGUUCAUCAAUUGCCCUGUUAAUUCUUGUUUUCAUUUUGUAGGAAAUGCCUGCCAUGGCUGGGGCAGAGCUUAGAAUUAUUUACUUGUAAAUUGCAGUUUCCAGCAUCCUUCUCCCAAUGGAGCAAACAGAAAUCUCAGUUGGCUAACACAUAGCUGUGCUGGCUGGGAAAUCCUGAGAUGUGUAUUCCAUACGUAACUUUUCCAAACACCAUUAUAGCUACAAUGGCCAUGCAUUUCCUAGAAUGGUUUGCCUAAAAUCAGUUUUGAUUGGGCCCCAUAAAGCUCUCACAGCUCUGUUUUAAGCGGUUACAUUUAUAAAGAUUAACUGCAGUAAGAUUGUGUUGUCGAAAGCUUUAGUAGCCUGAAUCACUGUGUUGCUGUGAGUUUUCCAGGCUGUAUGGCCCUGUUCCAGAAGCAUUCUUUCCUGACGUUUCACCCUCAUCUGUGGCAGGCAUCCUCAGAGGUUGUGAGGUCUGUUGGAAACUAGGCAAGUGGAGUUUGCAUACCUGUGGAUGUCCAAAGUGGGAGAAAGAACUAUUGUCCGUUUGAAGAAAGUGUGAAUGUUGCAAUUGGCCACCUUGAUUCGCAUUGAAUGGCCUUGCAGCUUCAAAGCCUGGCUGCUUCCUGUCUAGGGGAUAUAUAAACCUCACUUGCCUAGUUUCCAACAGACCUCACAACCUCUGAGGAUGCCUGCCAUAUAUGUGGGUGAAACAUCAGGAACGAAUGCUUCUGGAAAAGGGCCAUACAGCCCGGAAAACACACAACAACCCCAAUCCAAGGCAGUUCACCCCAGUUUACCCUGAUUUGAUGACUAAAAGUCUCUGGAUGCUGUUUGGACAUAGAGUGACCUUUGGGUCAUUUCAGGUUUUAUGGCCAGGAUAAGCAAGUUCUUGUUGUUGUUGUUGUUGUUGUUUAUUCGUUUAAUCACUUCCGACUCUUUGCGACCUCAUGGACCAGACCACGCCAGAGCUCCCUGUCGUCCGUGGCCAACCCCAGCUCCUUCAAGGUCAAGCCAGUGCCUUCAAGGAUACCAGCCAUCCAUCUUGCCUUGGUCGGCCCCUUUUCCUUUUCCCCCAGCACCAUUAUCAUCUCCAAGCUUUCCUGUCUUCUCAUGAUGUGGCCAAAUUACUUCAUCUUUGCCUCUAAUAUCCUUCCCUCCAGUGAGCAGCUGGGCUUUUAUUUCCUGGAGUAUGGAGCAAGUUCUUAGACUUUGAAUAAAGUCAGCAAACAUUUUAUUUCUAUGUAGUUGUCAAUAUAUCAAUGUACAAGCUAGGAGAAAACUAAUCCUUUACAAAUGUCGGAGUAAUUUUUCUAGGGAAAUAGCCAUAUACUGGCUGGCUUCUUGUAUCACAUAAUUAAGUUCUAGCGAUUUUUACAUCUCAUCUCUCUACAAGUCUGAAAUAAUAAAUACAUUUGAUUCUUAUAUCCAUGCUAAGAAACCCCAUCUUUGUUCAAUUUAUUGCAUGCUAGAACGUGACAUAAUUAGCAUUGUCUAGUAGAAGGGGCCAAAAAUUGCAAACAAUUGAAAUAGCUUCAAAGGCCCAAAACACAUUUCCAGUCAGAAAUGCUGUUAGCAUAAGAACUGAACUUUUCUGGUGUAAAAAAAAUUAAUAUGUUUCUGAGCAAUUGUUUAGCCAGUGAGGUUCAUGACCUUGGAUGGCAAGAGGCCUCUUUUCUGAGCUAUCAGACUGAGGUUGCAGGCAAGUAGUCACAGUCAUAGCUGGUUUGGGUAGGAUGAAAUUGGCUCCAGGAGCGAAAGAAUAUGUAGCUUGAAUACAACUCACAAAUGACAGAGAAAUAGAAGGGUUUGUAACCUAUUGUCAAAAGGAAGUAUUGAAGAACUGCAAAAUGUGUACUGCUGCCUUUUGGGGAGAAUGGAAGCUGUACUGAACCUUCACCCCCUUGGGCUACUUGCAUCUUCUCUCCUGCUCAGUAUGUAUAUUUAUAAAUAAACAGAUUGUACAAAGGUACUCUAAGUCUCUAGUCUUUCUUCCCGUUGAGAGGGAAGGGUAGGAAUCGUGGUAUUCUAGGUUUUGGACUACAGGUCAGAGAACUCCUCACCAUUGGCUAGGGUACCCAAGGCUGAUGAAACUUAAAGGCUAACAACAUCUGGAAACUGUGAUUUUUACUCAACCUGGUCAUGACAUCCAACCCCUUACCCUGCCAGAAAGAUACAGUGAUGAUUUUUGGAUGGUGUGAUUUUAAUAUUGAAUGUAAUGUUUUUAAAUGUUUAAUAUGUAUAAAUUUUAAUUCAAUUGUUUUAUGUUUACUGUUUGUAUGUGUUUUAAGGCAUCUAAUGGUUUCUCUGCGGGGCAGAGAAAGGCGAGGUAGAAAUGGGGUAAAUAAAUGAAUACUAUAGGAAAACAGAAGACAAUUCUGGCCUUUCAGAUUGUGCUGAACUCACAUCAGCUGUAGCUGGUCUUAUCAAUGGCGAAGGAUGAUGUGACUACAUUCAAACAACAUCAGGAAGUCCUAGACUAGAGGCUCAUCAGAUUAUGUUAGUGCAUGCAGUGCUUAGAGCAGUGGUUCUCAACCUGGGGUCCCCGGAUGUCUUUGGCCUACAACUCCCAGAAAUCCCAUCCAGUUUACCAGCUGUUAGGAUUUCUGGGAGUUGAAUGCCAAAAACAUCUGGGGACCCCAGGUUGAGGAAAACUGGCUUAGAGAUAUUGAAUUAAGGAGCAUAUACACCAACAACUUGGAGAAAGAAAUUAAGCUUUGUUGUGGGAUGUCCAUUCAAGGUUGGAAAGUUACUCGGGUGCUGAUCUAACUUAGCUACAUCUUGGAGACUUGAGAGAGUAUUCAAGGAAAGAAGAAUAGUUGGAAAAAUCAUUGCUAAGAGUGGUUUACAUCAAUCACUGAGAGGUCAGGGUAGGAAG
rnacentral:lncRNA from 11 species